AGAAGGCUGGAUUGGUCGAAAAAAAUAUGGUGAGCUGGAAAUAUGUUUCUAGAUUGCAGUACUGCCCAUAGCAAAAGUUUAUACAAUAUAUUCUUCGUGUCUUCUUAUAGCUUCGCCGGCACAUGGAAGGAAGCUGUUCACAGGGCUUGUUUUCUCACUUUUGCUUCCAUGUUUGAUAUACUCUCAACUUGGACAAGCGAUCACUUGGGAGAAAAUUCUCAAGUGGUAAGAGACAAUGAUUUGGAGCUUCUUUUGAGGAUUACCAGGCUAUGGUGGCACAGCUUGAACACCAAUUUCUACUCAGAAGAUUGUCCUUAGGCUUGUGGUAUUACUGUCAGGUGCUUCUCUUUGACAAAUUUAGCCACUUUAAGGGUUCCUUUUUCUUUUCUUUUUUUCUUUAUCAAAACUGAGUAAAUUCUCUGCUGUGUAAUACAAAAAGCUUCAGCUAAUAAUUUUAUUGGUUAAUCCGUGUCUUUAUGUUACCUAUUUUUGUUUGGAUAAUAGUAAUCGCAUAACUUUUGGCUUCUUCUUCAUUUUUCAAGAUGUUAAGACCCAUUCUCGUGGUAUUAAUAUGAAGUUACUGAAGUAGUUUCUUUACUUGCUCUAGCUGAUUUAUCUUUCCUUUCAUUUUAAACAAAGAACUAACACACAAUAAGAGUAGGAUUGAGUAAACAAAUGUUUACUGAAGUUCAAUCUUUGUCAGCUCAAGUUGGGAAGCCAACUGGGUUGUUUAAUUAUGUCUAAUUAGAAGAGUAAAUAGAAGUACUGGGUGGAUAGAUAUUGUUAUUACACCUCAUAAACAAUUAUUUACUUCUCAUGACGUAGAACUUGCUUAUUGUAGUAAAAGGAAUUGAAUUGGCAAAGUAUAUCCUGGAGUAUGCUCAGAACUUGGAGAAAAUGGUCAUAUUUCAUUUAUUCAAGGCCUGUUACAAUGUUAUGCUUUAAUUAAUACGAUUAUUCUAUGUUCAUAGACAAUUGUUUUCUGCUUUUCGGCAGGGGAAAAGUCGUCUUGAGGCACAAGAACAACUUUGAGAACCAAGAGACAUGGAGGGGGAGAGGCUGAAAAGCUUGUUCGGACACUUUUCAUGGCUGCUAUAUCCUAUCCAGACAGCCAUCUGUAAUUUUCACGGAUGAGUCAGUUGAUCCAUGCAUAGAAAGCAAUACCAGAAUCAGCGGCUUUCAGUACCAGUCCCAGUAGUAUCCUUGGUUGCCUUGAGGCUCUGCUUUCAGCAUACGAGCUAUGAGCUUAGAUCUCCAUAGUACUUGCCUCUCGAUCCUCUCAGUUCUUGAAUCCUCGAUCUCGAGCUCAGAUUCGGAAAAACUAGGGCCUUGUGUACAAUGAAGGAAUUUGAUCUCAUUCCUCAUGAUCCUAAAUCUGUAGAGUAUAAAGCAAUUGGAAAAUGCUCUCAAUCAGAAAAUGCUUAAGUUACUUGGUGUUUCUUCAAUGUUGCUGGUUGCCUCGGUUAUUCCUAUUUCUUUUUCAUAUGACACAAAGACUAUGCCGGUAUAUGAGAGUGAGGACUGGGAAGGAUGCCUCCUCUGCUGUAAUAAUCCAAAGCUCAAGAAGCAACAUAAAUGAGUUGGAGUGGGAUCUUAGAGCUCGAGAAGCGAGUACUAUGGAUUACCUCCUUUCACCAUGUGAGCUACCAAGUUUGAUUCAUGGGUCUAGCUAGCAGCUAGGAAUAGCUAGGGAUGCUUUUGAUUCAUGUGUAGGUAGCAACUAGGAAUGCUUUCUUGUUUGGUAUAUUAUCUAGUAACUUGAAUGUUUGGAUGUUUGAAAAAUGCUACUUGAAUGAUAUGGAUUAGAGUGUGGUUUUAUAUGGU